CAGCGAUUUUAGGAUAUUUUGUCCAUGAAAGCCACCUGCUUAUUGACUAGUCUUCACUCUAUGGUCAGGGAGUAUUAUUUUGUUUUAUUUAUGUUUAUAAGCUCUUUCUCCCUGUGUAAGUAAUGUACUCGUGUAUAGGAUUUAGGUUUGAGAUACUUUGUAUCUGGCUUUAAUUCGGUCGGAAAACAUAUAACAUGUAAUUUCAGUAUGGAUAAUGUGGACCUUAGUAAGUGAUAACAACAUAUUUAUGGCACACAAUUUGGAUAUUAGGACCAAACCAAUAGCGUUAAAAUAUAGAAAACACCUAAGUACUGUACAGUACGUGUUCAAAUUUCAAGCAAUGUUGAAAAUCUCCGAACAAGUCUGAUUUUCCGCUUCGCUGGUCCAAAAUCUCGCACACUGGGACUGUAUAUAAUUUUACAUUUAUUCAGCAAUCAACACUUCACGACAAUUCUCGCUCUAAUACACAACUAACUUACAACAAUACUUUUAACCAAACAAUGAUGCAUUUCCCUGACGCAUCUUUUACCGAACCACAGGAUGUUUUUCUGUGGUUUUUGCUCCACUGCAACCCACAUUUGCGUCCGUUUACGUUAUUAUUGGUUUCCCGGUUGCUACAAUGUGCUACCUCGAACCUUCAUUUCCUAUGUUAUAAUUAUUAUACUACACUGUACUAUUAACAUUACAAAACAAUUCCUUUAACAAUACAUAUACAAUUUAUGGCGUAACACUAUCUCUGCGCAUACUAUGUAAAUGACUAUUUACGUAUGAUUGGUGUGCUCAACCAUGCGUUAACUAAAUUCCACAACAAGCAAACCUGUUUGCUAUUUUGCGCUGUUAGCUAAAAGCUCCGAUUAAAUGCGUGACUUGAUUAUCUUAAUUACACACAAAUAUGUUUUAGUAGGGCAUACUAAGUCUAUAAGGUAGUCUAAAACUAUGGUAGUUGGAAAAGAGUUCAUUUCCGAAAUGUAGCUAAUAUCUUUGAAUGAAGAAUAAACAAGUUUGUUAUUUUCUGUUCCUAUAGCUAGUUAUAAGUUCCAAUCAGUUGCAUAAGUUAGCUGGUUACCCAUCGUAAAUAACAUAGCUGUAUAGCGAAAUACGCAAAUUGUGGUAGCCCACGCUAAAUGAAUUGCUAAAAUCUAUUUUAAACAGGAUGCCGCUUUUAACACAUUACCAAGCCUAUGUUAAUUAAUGACUUGUUAAUUGUUUAUUAUUAUAUUUGUGCACAUAAGCUAACACAAAAUUCAGUUUCUAUUUGUUAAAUAUUUGUUUUAACAUUUAUAAUGCUUAUAUAUUAGUAAAUUUAACUGUGUUUGCAAACUUUAAACGUAUUUACAUAAACCACAGGAGGGAGAAGACGCGUAGUUUGUAAUUUGUAAAUAUAAGCCUGCGACAUACAAUCAAUUAGCACAUCCUUGACCCUGCGUCUUAUCUGUAAUUUAAAAUGGUAUAGACAUUUCUAUACGUGCGUGUAUGCACGGAAAAGUUAAAUCUUUAUAAAUUUACAUUGCUGGUAAACAUAGCUCCGCAAAUACGCAGUUGAUGAUUCGUUUGAUUUUAGAUUUUUCCGCACUCUGCUGUUUUGUACAAUGUACAAUUUUAUGCACUUGCAAUGACCUAAUGAAAUUUCGGCGCACUUAUUGUAUUUAUGUUGACCUUUGUAAGUAAGGAGUAGAAAUAUUUGUCCUAUAAGGAUUUAAAACAGAUAUUAGCAUACAGUAAACCUAAAAAAAGAAGCAAAUUAGUUCUUUUUGUUGCUAGUUCGUGUUAGGUCACAUCGAACACCAAAAUUAACAGCCCCUCAACCUAGAGCAUAUAUGCCCGUAUGCGCUAUCGCCUCCCUAUAUCCCAUGCACUAGAUUGUUAUUUCAUUUAACAGUUUUAUUAAGCAUCAAUAACAUGUCCGUUAUUUUCGGUUCCUGGUCAAUUGCGUAGGUUGGUUGACCAUUCAAAAGCUAGAAGAAUGUUUCAGCAGUAAAUACGCAAUUUGUGGUAGUUUCAUUAAAUCCGUUACGUAAGCAUUAGUUUGCAGAUCUUGCCUAUAAAAUCCCGUUAAAUUUUUGUUUAUUUCAGUUCUUUAAUGUAGAUCUAUAUGAGUACAUAAAAUUGUGUGUUGGAAACCUUGGAUUAUUUAACAGCUUAUUUAAUUGGAGCAUUCUAACUCAUCUGAAAGAGAAGCUAUCCUGAUUGCAAGUCAAAGUACCAAUGAGUGGUAAAGGGAUUUCGUGUUUUAAUGCGAAUUUUUCUUUCAAAAAAGAUUGGAGCAAUAGGCACCAGAUAUUG